AGAGAAUAGAUACCCGGUAGUCCACGCCGUAAACGAUGGAUGCUAGCCGUUGGCGGGUUUACUCGUCAGUGGCGCAGCUAAACGCAUUAAGCAUCCCGCCUGGGGAGUACGGUCGCAAGAUUAAAACUCAAAGGAAUUGACGGGGGUCCCGCACAAGCGGUGGAGCAUGUGGUUCAAUUCGAAGCAACGCGCAGAACCUUACCAGCCCUUGACAUGUCCCGUAUGGGUUCCAGAGAUGGGAUCCUUCAGUUCGGCUGGCGGGAACACAGGUGCUGCAUGGCUGUCGUCAGCUCGUGUCGUGAGAUGUU
rnacentral:rRNA from 1 species